rnacentral:rRNA from 1 species
AUUGAACGCUGGCGGCAGGCCUAACACAUGCAAGUCGAGCGGAUGAAGGGAGCUUUCUCCUGCAUUCAGCGUCGGACGGGGGAGUGAUGCCUAUGAAUCUGCCUCGUAGUGGGGGAUAACGUCCGGUAACAGGCGCUACUAACACAGACUACCUGAAGGUGAUAGUUGAGAAUCUUCGGAACGCACGCUAUCAGUUGAGCCUAGGUCGGCUUAGCUAGUUGGUGGGGUAAAGGCCUACCAAGGCGACGAUCCGUAACUGGCCUGAGAGGAUGAUCAGUCACACGGGACCGGGAACACGGUCAGGCCUCCUCGGGGAGGCGGAAGAGGGGAAUAUUGGACAAUGGGCGAAAGCCUAAUCAAGAACUGCCGGGUGUGGGAGGAAGGUCUUCGGUUUGUAAAGCCCUUUAAGUUGGGAGAAAGGGCAGUAAGUUGAAAACUUGAUGUUUUGACGGUACCUAAAGAAUAAGCAACGGCUAACUACGUG